AUGGGGAAUCUUCCGCAAUGGGCGAAAGCCUGACGGAGCAAUACCGCGUGAGGGAGGAAGGCUCUUGGGUUGUAAACCUCUUUUCUCAGGGAAGAACACAAUGACGGUACCUGAGGAAUCAGCAUCGGCUAACUCCGUGCCAGCAGCCGCGGUAAUACGGAGGAUGCAAGCGUUAUCCGGAAUGAUUGGGCGUAAAGCGUCCGCAGGUGGCUGUGUAAGUCUGCUGUCAAAGAGCAAAGCUCAACUUUGUAAAGGCAGUGGAAACUACACGGCUAGAGUGCGUUCGGGGCAGAGGGAAUUCCUGGUGUAGCGGUGAAAUGCGUAGAGAUCAGGAAGAACACCGGUGGCGAAGGCGCUCUGCUAGGCCGCAACUGACACUGAGGGACGAAAGCUAGGGGAGCGAAUGGGAUUAGAUACCCCAGUAGUCCUAGCUGUAAACGAUGGAUACUAGGCGUGGCUUGUAUCGACCCGAGCCGUGCCGUAGCUAACGCGUUAAGUAUCCCGCCUGGGGAGUACGCACGCAAGUGUGAAACUCAAAGGAAUUGACGGGGGCCCGCACAAGCGGUGGAGUAUGUGGUUUAAUUUGAUGCAUCGCGAAAAACCUUACCAAGGCUUGACAUGUCGCGAACUCUUCUUAAAGGAAGAGGUGCCUUCGGGGGCGCGAACACGAGGUGGUGCAUGAAGCUCUCA
rnacentral:rRNA from 2 species